rnacentral:rRNA from 1 species
UACGUAGGGGGCAAGCGUUGUCCGGAUUUAUUGGGCGUAAAGAGCGUGUAGGCGGCUUUACAGGUCCGUUGUGAAAACUCGAGGCUCAACCUCGAGACGCCGGUGGAAACCGUAAAGCUAGAGUCCGGAAGAGGAGAGUGGAAUUCCUGGUGUAGCGGUGAAAUGCGCAGAUAUCAGGAGGAACACCCGUGGCGAAAGCGGCUCUCUGGGACGGUACUGACGCUGAGACGCGAAAAGCGUGGGGAGCGAACAGG